rnacentral:misc_RNA from 1 species
UUGUAUACAAAUUCACAAGACUGGAUAAUAUAAAAAUUGGAAAGAAGAUAUAAUUGCACUUCAUCUUGAGCUAUUUCUAUCUGUGGCAUUUUUUUCUUUUCAUAUUCUUUGCAUUUUAUUGCUUUCUCCGACUCUCUUCAUUGAAAAGUUCCGAAUCGAUUAAGAAAUAAUAUAAUUUGUGUGUAGGAGAGAGAAAUUUUUUUAAUUUAUGAAUGUUAUAUAUACAUAACGUAAUAACGCGAAUAACAAUAUGAAGAUAAGUGUUGACGGAUUGAUUGUAUAUUUUCCCUAUGAUUAUAUUUAUCCGGAGCAAUAUGCAUAUAUGCUUGAGCUCAAGCGUGGCUUGGAUGCCAAGGGACACUGUUUAUUGGAAAUGCCUUCAGGCACUGGCAAAACAAUAACACUGUUAUCACUCAUUGUAGCAUAUAUGUUGGAGCAUCCAUUGGAUGUUACAAAAUUGAUUUAUUGUUCUCGAACAGUGCCAGAGAUUGAGAAAGUUAUAGAGGAAUUGAAGAAACUUAUAGAUUACUAUGAGAAAGAAACCAAAAGCAAACCUAAGAUUGUUGGCUUAGUUCUUAGCUCUCGUAAAAAUAUGUGUAUUCAUCCUGAGGUCAGUAGAGAGCGAGAAGGUAAAAUUGUGGAUGGUCGUUGCCAUUCUCUUACUGCAUCAUAUGUACGAGAAAGGCAUAAUUAUGAUGAAUCUACACCAAUUUGUAGUUUUUACGAAGGAUUUGAUAUGGAAGGUAGAGAACAAAUUAUUCCUCCUGGUAUUUAUUCCAUUGAUGAUUUGAAAGAUUAUGGAAAAGAUCGUAAUUGGUGCCCAUAUUUCCUUGCAAGAUUUACAAUUUUACAUGCACAAAUUGUAGUUUACAGUUAUCAUUAUUUAUUGGAUCCAAAAAUUGCUGAAACUGUAUCUAAAGAACUAAGCAAGAAUUCAGUAGUUGUUUUUGAUGAGGCUCAUAACAUUGAUAAUGUUUGCAUUGAUUCUAUGAGUGUGAAAAUAAAUAGGAAAUUAAUGGAAAAAAGUUCGACUAAUAUACAACUCUUAGAGAAAACUGUAGCCGAAAUGAGAGAAGUUGAUGUAAAUAAAUUGAAGGAAGAAUACAAUAGAUUGGUCGAGGGAUUGAAAGAUGCUCAAUUGCAGAGAGAAACCGACGUCAUUUUAGCCAAUCCUAUUUUACCAAAUGAAGUACUCGAAGAAGUCGUUCCGGGCAACAUAAGAAAUGCUGAGCAUUUCGUCAGCUUCCUGAAACGAUUCGUUGAGUACUUGAAAACUCGUUUACGUGUCCAACACGUCGUGCAAGAAUCACCCGCGGCAUUUUUGAGGGACAUUCAAGCAAAAGUCGCUAUUGAACGAAAGCCAUUGCGAUUUUGCGCCCAAAGAUUAGCAUCUCUUUUACGCACAAUGGAAAUAACAGAUCUAACAGAUUUUUCUCCAAUAAUUCUGGUGACUCAUCUUGCAACAUUAGUCUCCACGUACACGCACGGUUUCACGAUUAUAGUGGAACCGUUCGAUGACAAAACGCCGACAGUUUUGAAUCCAAUUUUGCAUUUUAGUUGUUUAGAUUCUUCUAUCGCUGUCAAACCUAUAUUUGAUAGAUUUCAAUCUGUGAUAAUCACUUCCGGAACGCUCUCCCCGUUGGAUAUGUAUCCAAAAAUUUUAAACUUUCAUCCAGUUAUAAUGUCAUCGUUUACAAUGACAUUGGCUAGACCAUGCCUUUUACCUAUGAUUGUCGGCAAAGGUAAUGAUCAAGUGACUAUUUCGUCCAAAUAUGAGACACGAGAAGACGUGGCUGUUAUAAGAAAUUACGGUCAAUUGUUGGUCGAAUUUGCUGCAACAGUACCUGAUGGCUUAGUAUGCUUUUUUACAUCGUAUUUAUAUAUGGAAUCUGUGGUAGCUGCUUGGUACGAUCAAGGAGUUGUGGAUCAACUUCAAAGGCAUAAAUUACUUUUUAUCGAAACUCAGGAUUCAGCAGAGACCAGUUUAGCUCUGAUAAAUUACAUAAAGGCUUGUGAAAACGGUAGGGGAGCCGUUUUGCUUUCUGUAGCUCGUGGAAAGGUGUCCGAAGGCGUCGACUUCGAUCAUCACUUGGGUAGGGCUGUACUGAUGUUUGGUAUACCUUAUGUGUACACGCAAUCGCGAAUCUUAAAGGCACGUUUAGAAUACCUCAGAGAUCAAUUUCAAAUUCGAGAGAACGAUUUCUUAACUUUUGACGCUAUGAGACAUGCCGCUCAGUGCGUAGGGCGUGCGAUUAGAGGUAAAACCGAUUAUGGUAUAAUGGUGUUUGCAGAUAAGAGAUUUUCGAGAAUAGAUAAACGAAGUAAAUUACCGAAAUGGAUACAGGAACAUUUAAAUGACAAUUUAUGCAACUUAUCUACCGAAGAAGCUAUACAGAUCAGUAAAAGAUGGUUACGACAAAUGGCACAGCCAUUUACACGUGAAAAUCAGCUUGGAUUGUCAUUACUGACAAGAGAACAACUUGAGAAAGAAGAGGCUGCCAAAAUUGAACAAAAAGCACAGCAAAAAUGAUAGUAUGACACUAGGCCGAGUAAUUCAGUUUACUUAGGCAAAAUAAUCUGCACUAUUUACAAAAAAUAUAUCUCAUGCUGUUUGCUUGUACAAAUGCCUAAUUAUAAUUUGUACUUUUGACCACAAUUGUAUUAUUGCGGUUGACAGUAGUGUAACCUAAAAUCCAGAAACGCGCAUUGAAAAUGAGGAGAAAGUAAAAUCACAAUCUCGCGUAUUAGGUUGCGGAAAAAACAGUAACAAUCAAAAUCGUGGAAAAUUGUAAAUGAUAAUAAUGUUGAAAGGAAAUAUCAUAUACGACGAUUUGCUGUCUCUAUUUCGCGUUCUGAAAACUGCUUGCGGUAGAAGACAGAUGUUUUAGAAGUGUUUACCGUUAAUCGAUAUUAUCGAAUAUUC